AGUAGGGUCAGCUAAGCAAGCUAUCGGGCCCAUACCCCGAAAAUGAUGGUUUACCCCUUCCCCUGCUA
rnacentral:tRNA from 1 species